UCGUGUGGGGGAUUCGGAAAGAAGGGAACUAGUAAGUGGGUUGGUGGGUGGGAAUUAGAGGGGUUUUGUAUGGGAAUUUGAGAUUGAGAGAGAGAGAGAGAGAGAGAGGCACACAGAGAGAAGAGAGAGAGAUGUCUAAUAGCGAAAGGGUUCCUGUUGAGCUCUGUAAGGGCGUCAAUGGCCUCGACAAGGUCGUCCUCCGUGAGGUUCGCGGCAGUUCUGCUGAAGUGUAUCUUUACGGAGGUCAUGUGACAUCUUGGAAGAAUGAUCAUGGAGAGGAGUUGCUUUUUGUCAGUAGUAAGGCUAUUUUCAAGCCUCCGAAGGCAAUUCGUGGUGGUAUUCCUAUAUGCUUUCCUCAAUUUUCAAAUCAUGGCUCUCUUGAGCAACAUGGGUUUGCUAGAAACAGGUUUUGGAGCAUUGAUACUGAUCCACCUCCUUUUCCGACAAAUUCCUCCAGUAAGGCUUUUGUUGAUUUGAUCCUUAAGCCCUCUGAAGAAGAUUUGAAGAUCUGGCCUCACAGUUUUGAGUUUCGGUUGAGGGUGACCUUGGGACCUGGAGGAGAUUUGAUGUUGACAUCGCGCAUCAGAAAUACCAACGUUGAAGGAAAACCUUUUACUUUCACAUUUGCAUAUCAUACCUAUUUCUCUGUUUCAGACAUCAGUGAAGUUCGGGUUGAAGGAUUGGAGACGCUGGAUUAUCUUGACAACUUGAAGAAUAAGGAGCGAUUUACUGAACAAGGGGAUGCAAUAACUUUUGAAUCAGAAGUUGACAAAAUAUACCUCAGCACACCUACGAAGAUUGCAAUUUUGGAUCAUGAGAAGAAACGAACAUUUGUUAUUCGGAAGGAUGGCCUUCCAGAUGCUGUGGUGUGGAAUCCCUGGGAUAAGAAGGCGAAAGCCAUGGCUGAUUUCGGAGAUGACGAAUAUAAGCAUAUGCUGUGCAUGGAGACUGCUGCGGUGGAAAAAGCAAUAACACUCAAGCCUGGUGAGGAGUGGAGAGGAAGGCAGGAACUCUCUGCUGUUCCUUCCAGUUAUUGCAGUGGGCAGCUUGAUCCUCAGAGAGUCCUCCAGAGCAGCUAAAAUGUCCAUUUUCUGGUCUAAAUCCAGUACAGGGUCAAAAACAUAAUUUCUGAAACUUCAAGUGGGGGUUAAUUUGUAAAAAAAAAUUGAAGCAGUUAAACCAAUUUCUAACCAAGAUGUCGAACAGAAAGAAGAGAGGAGACUGAGAGAAGGCUGCUCUUUCCUCUUGCUGUUAUUGAAGGGGGCUCGCUAUGUUCCAAUAUGUGAUCGGAGCACAACAACGAGCAACAUCUUGCUUUGGAUUUUUGUCUUGGUUUUUUUUUUUAUUUUAUUGUAACCCCUCUCCCUUGUCUAAUUUUCUGGUACUUGGGUGGAAGGUGGAUUCAUGAGUAGAGUUGUCAAAUAAUGUUUCUGUUUUUAAUGGUUGGUUGUGUGGUAGCAUUGUCAAAGUGGGGAACAAAUAUAUACACAUAUGCAUAGCAUGGUUUAAAAAAAAUGAAAAAGAAGCUACUGCUGGGAACUUGGGGAUUAUUUCUGUCUAAAAGGAAUGUGGCUCUGAGAGAAGGGCAAGUCUUUUGCAUUAUUUUUUAGAGCAUAGUCUUAAGCUCUGGAAAGCAGACAACAAAUAUAGCUUUAAUGGUUGCAUUUUGA